rnacentral:piRNA from 1 species
UGACUGCAUUUAGGAGGAUUCUCACACUC